UAGCGGACCAGGAGGAGAACACAUUGACACUGUGUAACAGCAUCGCUACUGCUGCCUGUAUCCCUCUGCCGGGCUCCGUGUCGGUGUAUCACCUCAGAGCCGGUAUAUCGCAGUGGACAGCACCUUCCAGAACUGAAGCGCACACACCUGGCUAGAGAUGGGCUCCUGAUCUUCUACCACAGCAGGAACACUGCUUUCCACUGACAUCUCUGGUGCAAUCUUUUUUGCCGUAUGUCUGUCAGCCCCUAAUUUGAGAGA